AGCGAACGCUGGCGGCAGGCCUAACACAUGCAAGUCGAACGAACCUUUCGGGGUUAUUGGCGGACGGGUGAGUAACACGUGGGAACGUGCCUUUAGGUUCGGAAUAACUCAGGGAAACUUGUGCUAAUACCGAAUGUGCCCUUCGGGGGAAAGAUUAAUCGCCUUUAGAGCGGCCCGCGUCUGAUUAGCUAGUUGGUUGAGGUAAUGGCUCACCAAGGCGACGAUCAGUAGCUGGUCUGAGAGGAUGAUCAGCCACAUUGGGACUGAGACACGGCCCAAACUCCUACGGGAGGCAGCAGUGGGGAAUCUUGCGCAAUGGGCGAAAGCCUGACGCAGCCAUGCCGCGUGAAUGAUGAAGGUCUUAGGAUUGUAAAAUUCUUUCACCGGGGACGAUAAUGACGGUACCCGGAGAAGAAGCCCCGGCUAACUUCGUG
rnacentral:rRNA from 1 species